rnacentral:rRNA from 1 species
UACAGAGGCCUCGAGCGUUAGGCGGAAUCACUGGGCUUAAAGCGUGUGUAGGCGGACUUCUAAGUACCUUGUGAAAUCCCACGGCUCACCCGUGGAACUGCUCGGUAUACUGGUCGUCUUGAGCCUUCUAGGGGCGAGUGGAACAAAUGGUGGAGCGGUGAAAUGCGUAGAUAUCAUUUGGAACGCCAACGGCGAAAGCAGGCAGCUGGGGAUGCACCGACGCUGAGACACGAAAGCCAGGGGAGCGAACGGG